UCUUCAUGUAAGAUAGAGGCUGGGACAAGG
rnacentral:piRNA from 1 species